rnacentral:lncRNA from 1 species
CAUGGAGAAGCAAUACUGGUUUGCUUGGCAUUAGGAUAAUUUAGUUCUUCAUGAUUCUUAUCAUGAGUCACGAAAUGUCUCAUGUAGCUUUCUUUAGUAUUUUUUCCUUUUCUUUUUUGGAUUUCAUAUUAUCAUUUUGCUGGAUGAAACUAAUUACUUUUCUUUGUCACUGACCUCUAUUAGAUGCUUUGAUCUUAUCAAAACAUAUCACAACUUAAAUUAUGAUUAUAUAAACUGGAUACUAUCAUGCAGAUCUGCUUUAAAACAUCUGAAAAUCGAGCGCAUCAAACAAUAUGACUAUUGCCUUCCUUGUGAGUUUUGUUUACCUUUUUAUUUUUUCUUAUUUUGUGCAAAAAGUUGUUGCAACCCUUUGAAAUUUAUACAUUGACAAAUUCAUUUUGCAAUGAUUUUCUAUGCCUCAACAUCUUUUCUCUUACUAUGUAUGGUGGUCUGUGAUUUGAGCUUUUGUUCCCUAAUGUUGAAUGUAAGAUAGUUGCAUUGAAUAUGAAAGCAUCAAUGUAGAUUAUUUUUUUAUGGAUUUUGUUCAUCAUCCAUCCUCAUCAAGGUCAAUAUGAGACCAUAAGUGAGCUUUCUUAAAGCAUUUCUUGUAGCUAUAUAUCUCCCUGUCCAAAAUACCUGAUUGUCUUUGAGGUAGAAACGAGGUGGUUGCUUAAGUGGUAUUCAUGCCCGGUACAUGUGAAGGGACUGAAUGUUGAAUCUGGUCAUGAAUAUGUUGUGUGUUUAAGCAUGUGAGCUAUGAGUACUUGCUCAAUUGUUCAAUUUAAAUUCUAGUAGAUGGUAGGAAAACUAAAUAAGCAAUAUAUUUGAAAGGAGAAUUUACAAAGUAUUGCAAUAUUGUCUAAAUAUCUGAAGACAAAGACCGAAAACUAGGGACAUCUUCAAGUAGCUGUAAUUUUGAAGUGCUUAAAAUAGUUAAGUAUGAUGUUAGUUUUGAGUAUAGACAGUUAAGGGCUUUUCUUCCAAAAAAAGGAUUUCCUAUAUACAACUUCAAGUUCUUAAUUUGGUUAUAGCAUGAGCCAAUCAAAAUUUAUUAUAACAUUUUGAGAAUUUAACCAUUAUGGCCAGUGCUAAAUUGUUUAAGAAAAUGCAUAGGAUUCAUGGACGCUAGAAUCAACGUAAGGGGUGGGGUUAAACAUCUUAAUAGGAUAUCCUGAACAUUGAACUUUAUACAUGUUGAAAAGUUAUGUAUGCAUUUCUAUUAGGUUGUUGACAAUUGAGUCAAGUGACUGAGAUUUUCCUAAUACAUUGGAUAAUAUUAUAAUUAAACCUACAUAUACCAUAAUGUUAUCAAAGGAUAAUGUUGAACAAUAUUUUGAAAUCCGAUCAUAUUCUUUGGCUGGC